rnacentral:rRNA from 1 species
UACGUAGGGUGCGAGCGUUAAUCGGAAUUACUGGGCGUAAGGCGUGCGCAGGCGGUUUUGUAAGCCAGGUGUGAAAUCCCCGGGCUCAACCUGGGAAUGGCAUUUGGGACUGCAAGGCUGGAGUGCGGCAGAGGAGACUGGAAUUCCUGGUGUAGCAGUGAAAUGCGUAGAUAUCAAGAGGAAUACCGAUGGCGAAGGCAGGUCUCUGGGCUGACACUGACGCUCAUGCACGAAAGCGUGGGGAGCAAACAGG